GCCAACAGGGGGAUUCUCUCUGCUCCGAGCCAAUUUCCUCAUCUGUGUUCCAGAGAUGAAGUCAAAUUCAGUAUGUCUGAGGAAGACACAGAGACACACACAUAGAACAUGAGGUGUGAGCGGGGACGUGAGCCCAGGGGCCAUGGAGAGGACCUUCCCCCCGUGGGUGGGCUCGUACAGGUCCUGCCCUGACUCGGGAUGGGGCAUCCCUGCUGGGUCUCUCCCCACAAUGUAGAAAUUGGCUCCAGUCACCAUUCUUGAACGACAGUGCCACUGCACCUACGUCAACACAGGAGGAAUUUUAAAGACAUGAUGAAGGAGCCUUCUCCAGUCUGGCGUUCCUCGCACCUUACCUCAGUGGGGCCAGCGUACAUCAUAGGGGAGGGGAAGAUGGCAACGAUGGUCGAAGAGGGGUCAAGUACGCCCUCCUCCAACACGGCCGCGUGCUGCUUCAUGCGCCAGGGUAGUGGCACGUCAUCGUCUUUGGUCCAGCCCCCCAGCGGAUGGAGGAGCAGCACGGGCCGCUGGUAUCCGCGUUCCUCCAGCCGCCGCCUGGUGUCCUGCAUAAGCAGGGCGUGGCCAUUGUGCACAGGGUUCCGCAGUUGGAAGGCAAAGACAGCGUCUAAGAAAAAAACAGGGCACAAGAGUUCCUUAGGAGUGAGUCUAUAUUGAUCCAGACCAUCUUCCCAUCUAAUUCUCUUCAGCACUUCAAGGUCACCACCGA